GACGAACGCUGGCGGCGUGCUUAACACAUGCAAGUCGAACGGAAAGGCCCUGCUUUUGUGGGGUGCUCGAGUGGCGAACGGGUGAGUAACACGUGAGUAACCUGCCCUUGACUUUGGGAUAACUUCAGGAAACUGGGGAUAAUACAGGAUAGGAGCUCCUGCUGCACGGUGGGGGUUGGAAAGUUUCGGCGGUUGGGGAUGGACUCGCGGCUUAUCAGCUUGUUGGUGGGGUAGUGGCUUACCAAGGCUUUGACGGGUAGCCGGCCUGAGAGGGUGACCGGCCACAUUGGGACUGAGAUACGGCCCAGACUCCUACGGGCGGCAGCAGUGGGGAAUAUUGCACAAUGGGCGGAAGCCUGAUGCAGCAACGCCGCGUGCGGGAUGACGGCCUUCGGGUUGUAAACCGCUUUCGCCUGUGACGAAGCGUGAGUGACGGUAAUGGGUAAAGAAGCACCGGCUAACUACGUG
rnacentral:rRNA from 1 species